UCUUUGUGACCUCUGUCUCAGAACAUUUCUCCCUGGCAUGAUUUUUUUUUUUUAAAUACAUGUAUGUUAUUUUAUAGGGAUUUAUUUUCCCACUACUGUCAAUACCAGUCACCUUAAAAAGCGAUCAUCCACUUAUUCCUGAAACCCUGUGGGUUUCUUCCACUCUUCCCUCAGCCAACAAAAGCAAAAAAAAAAAAAAAAAAAAAAAAAAAAGGCCAAGUUUAAUGACAUCGCCAAGUUCAAUUUCACAUGGUGGGUCAAUUUCUGUGUCAAAAUAAUUCCUUAGAUUUGGUAAUGAUAGGCUUCCACUGUGUUUCUUAAUCCCAUCUGCAAGAGCGAUAGGAUUUUUGAAAACUUUCAUUUUGAAAGAGUCAGGACAGGAGGAUGAACUCAGGCAGGCCUCUCGCUCCCAGCAGACUACCUUACACCUGUUUGAGAAGCACUGGCCAAUCAGCCAACGGUGCGAACAGCAGGGGGGCGGAUCCCCAUCUUCAGACCGGAAUCCCUGGCGGGAUCCUGUUCAUUCCUUGGCUCUCUCUGUAAACACAGUGAAUUGGCAUUUAAUGGAAAGGCUACUUUGGAACUCUCCCUGCUAAGCUAAGACGGUGGCAACUCCCAUAUUGUCUCAGGAAAAGUUUUGUUCCAGCUAGGCUUGGUGGCACACUCUCGUGAUGCCACGCAGUGGAUCACUGAGUCCAGAGCUUUGUAGACGCUGACCACCACCCCUCCCCCGCCCCGCCAAAAAUAAAAAAGUUAGCUUUGGGAGCUGCUCCACACCUGGCUAUUUUAGCUUUGUGUGUAAUCAUAGCAAGCAGAGGUAGAGGGAUUUAUGCAGCGUUGAUGACUGCCAUUUUCACUGAAUGCCCUUGUUGAACUAAGAGCUUUCUGCUCAGCUGGAUGGCCCGGGAACUUUACAUAGCCCCCCCCCCCCCCAAAGUCUGAACCAUGUGGGGGCCUUGCUCUACACCAACACAGAAGGCUUCCUGAAGUGUAAGGGAGAAGAUACUGGGCAGAGGUGGGAGCCUGAUCGAAUGAACAAAGAGCCAGGUGUCUUUCUCAGAUCCUCACCCCCAUGUUUUCAGUGCAGAAGCCCUACCAACCACACACAGCUCAUCCAUGCGGCUCAGCCAUGCUGGUCUCUCCGAGGUACCCAGAUAGCUGCACCCCUCUGCUCCCCUUGCUCAGCAGCUUGCUCUAGCUGAAGAUCAGGCCCAGCAUCCUCUGCCCUUGAAGAGCCCAGAGGGUUCUACAGGAUGGAAUUAAGUUCUGAAAGAUUAGGUGUUGACAGCCAGCCUGUAUUUUUGUGCACCCAUCUCAGGGACCACCCCGGAAAGCUUGUGAAUCUCCCACUCUUCAGGAGCCAUUUCUCCUUAGCAAGAACAAGAUCACAAGAGACAUCACACAUCACCCCUUUAGGGAGUUACUUUCUACCUGCUGGCAAGGUUGGUAUGAGAGUUGAUUUCUAACCCCAAUGGGCUGGCUGAUACUUAGCAGGGCUCUUGAGGCACGUUCAACCCCUUCAGGGUAACCAGAGUACCUAGGACCACUUGCCUGACCCUAGCUGUGCAGUCCAGAAGAGCCAGGGAGGCUCCCAGUCCUCCCCGUGUUGGCUGCAAUGUCACUGCUGGUGAGGGAGACUCUUGGUCCCACCUUCCCAUCCUAACGGCUGGGUUCCUGCUGAUCAUAAGACCAGAUGAAGGUCAUUGGUGUUCCCCUAUCCAAAGCCCUUUGUUUUUCUUACUGUGGAGGUGUGAGAGUCCAGUGUGUAUGGAGAUAUAUGUACAUAAGUGUAUGAACAUAGACCUUGUGUGUGCAUUAUAGAUCUAUAUACAUGUAAGUGUAUCCUACUCCAUCAGACCUGGUGUGUGCUGUUCCUUAGCACACACUGUGGUCUCCAGCUUUGCAAGGAAAUCACCCUGGACCCAUCUGCAGGAGCCACCAGGGGCCAUCUGGAGAAGGGCGAUCCUUUGGCAGUAGACACCACAGCUCCUCUUUCAGUCCCUAUCUUAGACACAGCCUCUGUUGCCCUGGCCGUUGGCCUUGCUGCAUGAGAAGACAGCUGCUUCCUCCUCUACCCUGUAAUUAUUCUUUUUACAAUUGAGUGCCUUAAUAAUGGUUUACAAAUACUGUGUAUUUAUGCGCAACCGUUCAGCUCUCGUCUUUCGAGGCUGGGUACUUUUGUCUGGUCCUGGUGGUUAAGAUUAGCACGUGAGUUCCUCCCUACCCCCAUCCACUUGUGUUAAUCUGCUCUGCAGUUGACACUGUGGGUCCUGACUACUCCACAGAGCCUGCUAGAAACUCGGCUGCUUGGUCCCCGCAGGCCAUGCCUGCAUGCAUCAGCACACACCGCAGCCCGAGGUAGCCGGUGAGGGACAUGAUUUGGUUUGCCAGGUAGCACAGGGGUGGUGCAGGACCAGUACUCCCUGAACCACAGUCCAAGACCUCCCCUUAGCCCCUCAAGGUCACCCUCUAGUUUAUAGAGGCUUGCCACCCCCUAACACCCUUCACACUCCCUCCUCCUCUUCUGCCUGUGUCCUGAGCUCCUUGCUGCAAAUCAUGGGGUACAGCUCACCCCAGAGGAGCCUCACCAGACUGCAUCCUUCACCUUUCAAAGGCCACUGGCACCGGGUUCCCUCGUUGAGUCACAACUUUGAUUUUUUUUUAAUUGUUUUUCUCCUUGUUUUCUUUUUUAAUAUAUAUAUAUUAUAUAUUUAAAAGGCAGUAUCUUUUUGUACUGUGAAUUUUCAGUAGAAGAGGCAUAGUGCACUUUUUUUUUUACUUCUGUUGGUGUGUACUGUAUAUAUAUAUAGUCUGCGCGCUUCUCGUGAUGAGAAUAAACACUUCGUUU
rnacentral:lncRNA from 1 species